GCGCCCCUGCGCUGAUCGAGUGGCCUUAAGUUGCCAGAGCCGAUAGCAAGUCGAUAGGGAGCUUAUAUAUUCUAAGUGUGUGAUUCCCGCCCGCUCGGGAAACCUAAUCUUAGAAUGCAGCACCCACCUCCGACAGAGGGUUCGACAACGCUUGUGCCGAAUCGUCAGUGCGGGGGCGCU
rnacentral:other from 1 species